AUGACUGCAAAGGAAGUACAGUGUGUAACUCAAAACACGAAAGACAGCGCUUGUAAAGUGUAUCAGUAUUCAUCUACUGUUUCUUGGGGGAAAAGGUUUCCUGAGGUAGAGUCCUCUGAAGAUUCUCUCAUCCUGGAGCACAGAGAAAGGAAAUUCAUGGUCCACCAAAGUUCCAUCAGCAGCCUUCUACUGGCUUCUUUCUGGAGACAGGAGGAGGCACAGAAAGCUCUCAGGAUGUGCGAACGCAUACCUCUUCAACUUUGCCGUCACAGUGUCCUUCCUCUCCCACCAUCCAUCUGUUUUCUCAGCUACUCCCUAGUACAACAGAGUGAGGGUGAGUGUGGGCUUUGAGUUUUGUGACUAAUCGGCAGCGUGUCUUUGGCCAGCUCCUUCACUCUGGAAGCCCCAGCCUUGGUCCAGGAACCACACUAUUCCCACAUAACAACAGGGCUUCCUGUUAUGGCUGGAGGCUGAAUCUUGGUCUUCCCCUGGCUGCUCCUCUCUUCUGCUACAGUGUGCUUUGAGUGCCAGGGCUAGAUUCCUAUAAGCUCUGCUCAGGAGGAAAGCUAUUUGGAGUCUAAUGGGCCUGCAGAACAGGUGCAUCCCUCUUGCUGCAACAAUUACUGGAUAAACAAAAUGAAAACCC
rnacentral:lncRNA from 1 species